CCCUUAGAUGUUCUGGGCCGCACGCGCGCUACACUGAUGAAUGCAACGAGCUCUACCCUUGACCGAAAGGCCCGGGUAAACUUGUGAAACUUCAUCGUGAUGGGGAUAGAUUAUUGCAAUUAUUAAUCUUCAACGAGGAAUUCCUAGUAAGCGCGAGUCAUCAGCUCGCGUUGAUUACGUCUCUGCCCUUUGUACACACCGCCCGUCGCUCCUACCGAUUGAAUGGUCCGGUGAAAUCUUCGGAUUGCUGACCAAGAUCCAGCAAUGGAGCUUGGUUGCGAGAAGUUGAUUAAACCUUAUUAUUUAGAGGAAGGAGAAGUCGUAACA
rnacentral:rRNA from 1 species